rnacentral:rRNA from 1 species
UACAGAGGUCUCGAGCGUUAGGCGGAAUCACUGGGCUUAAAGCGUGUGUAGGCGGAUCGUUAAGUGCCUUGUGAAAUCCCACGGCUCAACCGUGGAACUGCUUGGCAUACUGGCGGUCUUGAGCAACCUAGGGGCGAGCGGAACAAAUGGUGGAGCGGUGAAAUGCGUAGAUAUCAUUUGGAACGCCAAUGGUGAAAACAGCACUCUGGGACGUGACUGACGCUGAGACGCGAAAGCGUGGGGAGCAAACAGG